AUCUUAUACUCAUCCUUUCUGUUGGUCUCUUAUUUUAAUUUCAGAAGCUGAUUUAGUCAAAUGUUCUGUUGCCUCUGCCCAAACUCUCUCAUUAGCAAAGUCCUUUCUUGGCUUUCUGGAAAUUGGUUGACCUGUUGCUCUUGGCACGUGGCUCCAACUCCUGACAAAGUUUGGCUCUGGCUUUCCGAUACCAUUGACAUAUUCUUUCAGCUUUCCUGCUCACAUUUAGAAAUGGAUUCUUUUUUGUGUGUGUGGAGGAAGUAAAAGACAGGGCAGGCUCCAAAGCAGGAGCAGACAGCUGUUUUGUUCCAGGCUGGCAGUUGGUCAGUCAAUAAUCAUGUAUUCAGCACCAGGUUCCUGUCACUUCUGAGUUCUGGGGAGGCAACAAAAAAGGGCGCGUGUUUAGCUCCAGUCCUUGGUGUGCUUAUUUCAUUUCAAGCCCACAUUUUGACCGCGUCUCAAAUCCUCCGCAAAUGUAGCAAACUCUAAUGAGGUCAUCGGGAUUAUGAAGUAUCUGUUGGUGCUGUCAAGCCUGUGGCUCUCCGUUCAUUCGGACAGCUGCGCUAAGCCUAGUGGACUUUCAAUCAGGCUUCAUUGAACAACUCUGGGAGAGUCAGUGGAUCCUAGAGUUAGAACAUAACAUCAGCCUUCGUAUUCCUGCUUUAGGCAAGCGGGGGAAGAUGCAUUUACACCAAUAUCACGCUCAGCAGCAAGGAACGCUUGAGAAGACUCCAGGAAAACACGGGGCCUCACUGCAAGAUUCUUUGGAGGAGUUUACGCUCUGGGUCUGACUGCCUUGUGGGGAGACUUCCAUCGAAGAAUUUCUGUUGGAGAUUUCCUCACCAAGCCACGACGGAAGGAGUUCAAGAUGGACCAGUGUGGCACUGAAUCCCAUUCCAUACGGAACAAUGUUAUAGCGCUUCUAAAAUUGAGCCGUUAAAACAUUCAUUUUCCCUUCCCAGGUUAAAAUGUGCAACAGGGAAAAUGACUGGCAUAACAGUCAUAUGAAGAUGUUCUUUCUAAAAGGUUUAAUACUCUCCGGGAUUUUUUCCAAAAUAUGAGCUCAUUGUAGUAACUACCUGUCACAAA